UGUCGUUUCGCGAAAAGACAUCUUACCCCCCUAUCGUUUAGAAACCCCCACAUAAACACUUAAACUUCAUAACUAAAGCGGAAAUUGACCUGUAACCGGCCGUGCAACCUAGUGACGAUGGGUAUGCGAAAUUCCUUUGAAAAGAUCUUGAGUUUCAUUCUUAGGGAAAGAAAAAGCCGCUUCUCCCAUAAAUUAUAACUUUUUUGCCAUUAGUUUUCUUUCAUUUUAUCUGAUACACUGGAUAUCGUCCAUCAAAAACUAAUACUGUAAAAUUUGAUAUAGUUUGGAACAGGAGCUCAGCAAUUCGUGGGAAAUCAAAGCCACUCCUACGAUUCUCUUCCUCAGAGAUGGCAAAAUGGUAGACAAACUCAUAGGUGACAACAAACAAGAUCUCCAAAAGAAAACAAUGGCCAUUGCUGAAUCUUGUUCAGAUCUGACAACCCCAUGAUUGAGUUGCCUGUCUUCUGAAUGUCUAAGGCGUAUAUCAAUUUUCUUCAGCAAUUUUGAUACUCUAAAAUCGGAUCUCAGAGAAUAAGGAAUCCACUCAUAAGGGGAGUGGUCAUGCCGCUACAGAUGAGGAGAAGAAUAUGGCCUUCUGCCUCGAGAUUGAAGCUAUAGCUGAGGAGAUUGCCCAGAAACUUAUUCGUUUCCAUGAAGAAAUGAUGGUAAGAAUUCCUAAACGAAUUACCCCUUGAUUGUGCAACAAAAACCAAGCGCUUGAUUGCUGAAGUUGAAGAAGCGCUUGAUUGCUGAAGUUGAAGAAGCUCUUGACCAUGUCUACUUGAUGCAGUCCGAAGGGAUCAGCAGCAGCAGCAGUUCAUUCCGAUUCCAACUCCUCUCUCUCCCAUUUCUUGAUGUCUCCUUUUGCAAUGAUUUAUUUGCAUAUGUACUAUCAACUAUGUCCGCAAUCGAGACUAUGGUUAAUCAUUAUCAUGUAUGGGACCAUUUCCGUUCCUUGAUGAUAGUGUAUCUGACACCCGAUGAUACCUUGUUUGAUUGCCACAAUAUAUUCAUCAUCAUUAUCAUGCCA